GUGCCAGCCGCCGCGGUAAUACCCGCAGCCCGAGUGGUGGUCAUUAUUAUUGAGCCUAAAGCGUCCGUAGCCGGACUCGUAAAUCCUUGGGUAAAUCGGGCAGCUUAACUGUCCGAAUUCCGAGGAGACUGCGAGUCUUGGGACCGGGAGAGGUCAAAGGUACUCCACGGGUAAGGGCUAAAUCUUGUAAUCCUUGGGGGACCACCAGUGGCGAAGGCGUCUGACUAGAACGGAUCCGACGGUAAGGGACGAAACCCUGGGGCGCAAACGGGAUUAGAUACCCCGGUAGUCC
rnacentral:rRNA from 1 species